AGUACUCAAACAGUAAACAAACAGUAUCCAGCUGAGACAAGGAACCAAAGCUUCAGCGAAGGGGAAGACAGAACUUGAAGCCAACGCAGCAGUAACCAGAAGGAAGGACCAGAGCUUAAAGCCAACGCAACAGAGCAGAACAUAAUUACCAAACGCUUCAUUGCCACUCACAGGUCAAAUAGAGAGCCCAAAAACACAGCAGUUCAGACACUAUAGCCAAGCAUAAUCGUUUCUACAGGCCUAUUAGUGAAAGACCCCCAGCAGUAGAGCUCAAGCCAUAGGGUAUCCUAGUUCCAUGUAAGAGCUGUUCUGUUGGAAUUUCGUACUUUUUCUUUGGCUGGAAGUUUAAUAUACGUGCUCAGGGUGAAGUGCAAGCAGUGCAUGCCCUACAUAGUUGUGCUGUUUGUGACGUUGAGAAAUGAAACAAGUCGUUUGCUACCUGAUAAAAGAUACCAUUGUCUUCCCAUGUGAAGUAUAAUCUGCAAAGGAAGUGG
rnacentral:misc_RNA from 1 species